CCUAGCAAACAUUGAACUCAAACCCUAAGAUUCAAAAUCGAUCGUCUUGUGGCUUCAAACCCAAAGGAAUCUCGGUCCUCUGUAAUCAAACUCAGAGCAAACGGAACUCAAAGAGGUUGAUUCCCAGAUAAAUUGAAGUUAGAGCAAUCGGAACUCAGAUAAGUUGUUUCCCAGAUUAAUCGUUCAACUCGUCUUCUCCAAUCACACUCGGCAAUUCUAAUAUCCAAGAACCCAUAAACCACUUUGAACCCUAACCCAUAACCCAAAAAUCAUCUUCUCUCCAAGAACCUUAAUCCAAUAACCCACGAAUUUAACCGUCACCAUGCUUUCACAACUCAAACUGCCGUCAUUAAGGGGUCAUUGAGAAACUGUAAGCCACUAGACAACAUGACAUAUAUUGAUCCAACUGUGUAUGCGAGCUAUUACUGAGUAUGCAUAGCAGUGGAGUCACUCUCUGAUUCACUCAAACGGGUAUGUUAUUGACUGUGAAAUGUUUUGUUGAUAUAUUUAUUCCUUUUUUGCUGUCUCAAAUCAUGAGAGUUACAUGAGAGUUCAUAGUAGUCUAUGGUUUAUUUUCUAUUUAUCUGCAUAUAUGAUAUAUGAUAUGAUAUUAGUGAAUGCACAUUUUUUUUAUAAUCUGUUAGGAUUUGGCAUUUGAUCACUUUAACUAUUAUUAUAUUCAGUUUCAAUUUCUUACUUUUGGGUUUAAUUUGUUUACCUUAUUAUUAUUUUUAUAAAAAAAAUUUGUGUUACUGAUUUUUAAGGUUUGGGUCCAAAGGAAGAAGAACACAGUAGCUUUUUCCACAAAACCAAAGCAAGUUGCAGAGUCUAGUGGAUUUAAUAAUGUGGAAAGAUGUUUCAAGAUCAGCAUUUGUGUUUAGUAUUGGAACAUUCAUUAUAAUCUCAUUUUCUUAUGCAAGGGAUAUAUCAAUUUGAGGUUAGAAAUCUACACUAAAGAGUUUAUCUUUUACUGCUCCAGAACUGAAGUUUUUCUGCAGUUGGCAGUUUUGGCUAGAUGUGGCAGUUUCAUAACAAUUUGGAAGAUGGCUAAAUUCGGAUUUUGCAUUUCUGCACUGCUGGGAGAUAACAUCUACAACUACCUUGUUCAAAAAAACAUCUACAACUACAACUUUCGAGAGCUACUUGCCCAUCCUAUUGUGAGUAUCUGUUGAUUUUGUUGUUUGGAAUGCCUACUCUUUCAAGUUUCUCUACUCCACUCAUCUAUUUAGGUUACUAUAUACUUAUGUAGGUACUAGGUAUGAGUUGAAGUUAUUAAUCUAGCCUUAUUCUAGUUACACUGUACAUGUCCUAAAUUGAUUAAGUUAAUGCACUCCAUUCACCAUUUUAUCUAUGUCAUAAGUUUCUCAUUAAAUUUAUUUGUGUUGUUAUAAAUUUCAAGUGUUAGAUUUGGGCUUGUUUAUUGUAGAAUAAAAGUUCGAUACAUAUUUCCAUGUCCACUUUUAGUUGAUCCUUUCCUCUAAUCAGAAGAACGACCAAAUGUAUGCAGGGGUUUUAGAUAUCCCUUUGUACUUUGAGCCUUGUUUUAAUGUACUUCAGUGAUUCCAAUUUGUCUUAGAAAUGCUGAUUUCUCUUUUACUAUCCACAUGGUCUUUUACUUCAAGGUUAUUAUUAUAUUCGGAGAACUCUUUAGUCAAGGUAUGUUCUCUAAUGUUGGACUUCUUUAGUCAUGGAAACAAAGUAUCACUCACUAAUGUAAUCUAGCUGUUUUUCUUUUAGUAAAUUAAGAUAAGUCUCAGAGAACAUAACCAUGUUGAAUUGUGAGAAAAACAAUAAACAAAAAGAGAUACAAAAGCAAUCAAAGUUUUCACGUAUUGUCUUCUAGCAGAGACGGAGGGGUAUAUUUUUUGUCUUGCAUAUAUUUGGCACAUCCCAAGCGCCGACAAGUUUUUAUAUAACUUUAAAAUGCCUCAAUAGAACCUGUUAUAUUCAUAUCACAUGAGUAAUUUCAUGAUAAUAAUAACUUCACAUUCUCAUUCAUGUUCAUUAUAGUGUUUGUUUCAAGACAUUUGAAAGUCCUGUUAUGAUUAAGCCAUGCAUUCGAGCGUUGUAGAUUGAAAAUGGAAUAAAUCUCUAUUCAGCAACAAUUCUUAUAUGCCCAGUCUCUGUCGAAGGUGCUUCAUUUGAAUCAAUAAGUUAUAUAAAUGAUGCAGCACAAACCUUAAGGUAUCCAAGUGGAGUGUAGGUGAGAAUUAAUAUGAAUGUCAAAAUGGAAGAGCUCAACUACAGGUUAGUUUGUGCGAGACCGCGACCGUCGUUGUUCCAUCUCGUCGAACCUCCAUCUCCAUCCUUAUCAAUUAAGGUCUUCCUGAGCUAUUUGCAUUAUGUGCUUUGUCACGCUUGGAAUUGGAGAGUGAUGCUUUCGUAGUGUUUCUUUUUCUGCUCUUUUGUUAUUAUAGGUUUCAGUUGCACUAUUAGACACGAGUUAUUGGAUCAAUAUGUCAUGAGCACAAGAUAUUGACUAUAUUGAGUAUAUUUUUAAUUUUUCAGGGACUACAUGAAAACAUCAGAGGUGUUGGCUUGGUUUGGGAAAUGGUAGAGGAAUGCUUAGGUUAAUUUUAAUUUGGUUGCUUUGGUGUUCUGAACUCAUCAGCUAGUUGCAAGAAAUGGUCUGUUGGGAGGUUAUUAUUCACGUUGUAGUAAACCAAUUUUGUUGUCUUGUGCUGGUUGUUAUCUUAUUAAGGUUGAGAAUCAUAUAUAGGAAGGACCUUUGUAUUAGCAUAUUAGCAUAAUUGAGUUUCUUUUGAUGGUGAUAGUUAUGUACUCAGCUUGAAUAUUAUAUCAGUCCAAAUGUAUAUUACUCAUGUUAUAUAUUGGAAAAGUACUUUUUAUUCUCUAUAAAGUACUUGA